rfam:Shewanella amazonensis SB2B, complete genome.
GGGUCUGCAGUUCACCCAGACAUCGCCGCGGCGUAAGCCGAGCUAAACCUGCCU